rnacentral:lncRNA from 1 species
AAACUUUUUUUUUUCAGAUCACUCCUGUCUUAUUUGCAUUGUUCUGAUCACUAACCAAGGUUUUUUUUUGCAUUGAUCGGAUCACUAACAGGUCUUUUUUGCAGUGAUCAGAUCACUGACUCAGGUCUCAUUUGAAUUGAUCGGAUCACUAACACAGGUUUUUUUUGCAUUGAUCGGAUCACGAACCCAGGUCAUUUUAGCAAUAUAAUAACCAACUGUGGUUCUUUUCGCUUUAAGAUGUACAACCUGGACAUUUUUUUUUCAGAUCACUCCUGUCUUAUUUGCAUUGUUCUGAUCACUAACCCAGGUUUUUUUGGCAUUGAUUAAUUAUAUGACCGGUCCUUUUUGCAUUGAUCUUUACAUAACCAGGUCAUUUUUGCAUUGUUCUAAUCACUAACCCAGGUUGUUUUGGCAUUGGUCUUAAAACUAACCCAGGUCCUUUUUUUUAUUGAUCCAUUCACUAAUCAAAGUUCUUUUGCAUUGUUCCCUUCUAUAACCAGGUCCUUUUUGCUUUUUUCCAAUGUACAACAAGGUUUAGCAUUGCAAUCACAACACAUUCUUUUUGCAUUGAUCUGAUCACAACCAGGUCUUUUUUGCAUUGAUCCCAUAAAUAACAUCAUUUUUGCAUUGUUCCGAUGUACAACCAGGUCAUAUUUCCAUUUUUAAAAUUUGAAUCAUUAACGUUGCAUUAACUCAAAUCUGGGCACCAUUGAUUUUUAUUAGUGAUAUGGUUAAGAUGGCAAAAAGUGUAAUCCGUGGAGUCUGGAUGAGGUUCAAACCUUCCUCACAUUGCUGGCUAACGACCACAUUCAGAGAGAGCUGGACGGAUGUACUUGUAACGGGCGAGUAUACCAACAGCUCUGUGAGCAAAUGUGCGCUCAGACCAGACCUCUCUACAGUGCCGGGAGAAGUUGGAAAAACUCGAGUGACUACCGCUCAUUUACGACCACAGCGGCUGGAGUGGAGCGAACUUGACUUUAAUACCAUUGAGGGUACCACAGUCCACCCAUCAUCACCGUCUGAUGCUGAAACACCACCAC